rnacentral:rRNA from 1 species
CAGUAGCCGCGGUAAUACGGAGGGGGCUAGCGUUGUUCGGAAUUACUGGGCGUAAAGCGCACGUAGGCGGCCUGGUAAGUUAGAGGUGAAAGCCUGGAGCUCAACUCCAGAAUUGCCUUUAAGACUGCCGAGCUAGCAGGUGAGAGAGGUAAGUGGAAUUCCGAGUGUAGAGGUGAAAUUCGUAGAUAUUCGGAAGAACACCAGUGGCGAAGGCGGCUUACUGGCUCAUACUGGACGCUGAGGUGCGAAAGCGUGGGGAGCAAACAGGAUUAGAUACCCCCGUAGUCCCUGUCUCUUAUAC